rnacentral:tRNA from 1 species
GAUUAAAUGGCUGAAGAUUAGGCAAUAGACUGUAAAUCUAUUUAUGGGAUUUAUUCUCUUUAAUCA